CUUGAAACACGGACCAAGGAGUCUAGCAUGUACGCGAGUCAUUGGGACAUAACUAAACCUAAAGGCGCAAUGAAAGUAAAGGUCUGCCUUGCGUGGACUCAGGGAAGAUGGGCGGUCCUUGUGAUCGCUUCGCACUCCCGGGGCGUCUCAUUCUCAUUGCGAGAAGAGGCGCACCAAGAGCGUACACGCUGGGACCCGAAAGAUGGUGAACUAUGCCUGGUCAGGACGAAGUCAGGGGAAACCCUGAUGGAGGUCCGUAGCGAUUCUGACGUGCAAAUCGAUCGUCGGAACUGGGUAUAGGGGCGAAAGACUAAUCGAACCAUCUAGUAGCUGGUUCCCUCCGAAGUUUCCCUCAGGAUAGCUGGCGCUCAUUGCGUACGAGUUUCAUCCGGUAAAGCGAAUGAUUAGAGGCAUUGGGGUCGAAACGGCCUCAACCUAUUCUCAAACUUUAAAUGGGUGAGAUCUUCGGCUUGCUCGAACUAUUGAAGCCGUAAGACACGAAUCAGAGUGCCAAGUGGGCCAUUUUUGGUAAGCAGAACUGGCGCUGUGGGAUGAACCAAACGCCGAGUUAAAGCGCCUAAAUCGACGCUUAUGGGAUACCAUGAAAGGCGUUGGUAACUUAAGACAGCAGGACGGUGGCCAUGGAAGUCGGAAUCCG
rnacentral:rRNA from 1 species